rnacentral:rRNA from 1 species
UACGAAGGGUGCAAGCGUUACUCGGAAUUACUGGGCGUAAAGCGUGCGUAGGCGGUUUGUUAAGUCCGCUGUGAAAGCCCUGGGCUCAACCUGGGAAUUGCAGUGGAUACUGGCAAGCUAGAGUGCGGUAGAGGAUGGUGGAAUUCCCGGUGUAGCGGUGAAAUGCGUAGAGAUCGGGAGGAACACCGAUGGCGAAGGCGAGCCAUCG